rnacentral:rRNA from 1 species
ACCUGGUUGAUCCUGCCAGUAGUCAUAUGCUUGUUUCAAGGACUAAGCCAUGCAAGUCUCAGAAUAAAUGGAUCACAGUGAGUCUGCAGACAGCUCAUUAAAUCAGCUACAAUCUACGCCGAGAAACUGCCUCAUGGCAGACUAUUGGAUAACUUUGGUAACCCCAAAGCUAAUACAUGUCAGCAAAACCCGCACAGAUUCCACCUCGGAGCCUCGGUUCUGGGGCUGUGUUGGGUGCAAUUGACCGAAUCAAAAACCAACGCUAGCAAUAGCAGCGGUGAUUGGAUGACUCAGGUCAAUCGAGUAGUAGCGCAUACUUCGGUGGCGCUUGUCGGCAUGAGCAUCUGCCCUAUCAGCUUUUGACGGUAGUGUAGUGGACUACCGUGGCUUUACGGGUAACGGGGAAUUAGGGUUCGAUUCCGGAGAGGGAGCCUGAGAAACGGCUACCACAACUAAGGUUGGCAGCAGGCGCGCAAAUUGCCCAAUAGCAACACAUCGCUGAGGCAGCGAAGAGAAAUAGCAACUUCAUGGGCCCUGCCAUGUGAAGAUUGCCAUGGACGAUAUCUAAACCUGUCGGUGAGUAUCAAUUGGUGGACAAGUCUGGUGCCAGCACCCGCGGUAAUUCCAGCACCAAUAGCGUAUAUUAAUGCUGCUGCUGUUAAAAAGCUCGUAGUUGGAUCAAGAGUUGGACAGUGCACGGUGGCCCCAUUUGUGUGGCUGGCUCCGGUCAGUUACACGGUGGCGGAACAACCCCGUGCGCCAAACUGUCCACUCUAACAGACCGAAGCGGUUCCCUGUGAGUAGGCUCCUUAAUUGGGGCUGAAAGCGCCUACGCAUCAACCAUAUGCAUACGGGACGUCGGUCAAAGUUACUGUGAACAAACCAGCGUGUCCAAGCAGGCUUUCGCCUGAAUGUUCGAGCAUGGAAUAACAAGGGAUCGAUUCUCUCGGUUCUUUUUGUUGGUUUUUAACCCGAGAAGGAGAAAUUCAGGCCACGGUGUCUGAGUUGGGUUUCCCAGGGCUUCGGCUCUGGCCCCAAUUAGGCCGUGUCCUUACGGGAUCAAUAGGGACUGACGGGGUCGUACCUACUUCCGCGUCAGAGGUGAAAUUCUUAGAUCGCGGGAAGAGGAACUUCAGCGAAAGCAUUCGACAAGAAUGUCUUCAUUAAUCAAGAACGAGAGUGUGGGGAUCGAAGAUGAUCAGAUACCGUCGUAGUCCACUACUGUAAACAAUGCCGUCUCAGGAUUGAGAAGUGAACAGAAUGACUUUCACAGCACUAACCCCUGAAACGAGAAAUCAAAGAUUAUGGGUUCAGGGGGGAGUACAUUCGCAAGGCUGAAACUUAA